rnacentral:lncRNA from 1 species
GAGCUUCUUCUUCCAUCUCCAUCACAACCCAAAACUCACCCUAAAGACUUCACUCUCCAUCAUCUUUCCCAUAAUUCAACAAUUCAACUUCUUCAACCUCUCUCACUUUCUCAACCACGAGCCAUCUUCCUCACCAUUCGUCUCCACCAUCACAGUUAACAGAACCCUUCAUCAACCUUCAACCAUACUUCUCCAUCUUCAACACUUCAACAUCUCCAACCGUAACCUCCAUCAUCUCCUUCAACAAAGAACCCUUCAUCAACCGCUAAACCUUCUUCUUCACCCUUCAGAGAUAACUGAACUCGACCUUCAACAAUUCCGAACCGAAUAUUUUCUCCUCCAACCUGCAGAAUUACAAAACCUCCCCCAAAUUCCGGCAAGAACUGACGAUAUAUUUUUGAGGAGCUUCGGGAGAACCUCCAACAGAAGCGUAACAGAAGAAGAAAAGAAAACAGAAGAAGAGAAGUAGAAAAAGAACAGGAGGAAACGAUUGUAGUUCAGAAACAGAAAUGUGACUUCACCUGUUCACGUUUCGAUCGUCAACGCCUUGUCGCUCUUCACUACAUGAUUCGUCAUCACGCUUUUGUCGACAUCAAAUGACGCAAAUCCAAGAUUGAAGAUCAACGAACGAAGCUCGAUGAUUGAAGAUCCACGAACGCGUCACCCCAGCCAUCGCAUCAGAAUCUCCAAGUAAUUCUUUCCUCCCUUCAUCCGUUCUUCCGUUUUACGCAUCAAUAAGCAAAGCGAAAUCGAAUUCAUGGUCACCCAUCAGUGUUCGCGCAAGAACGAAAUCCCAGUCCUCGUCGGUUUCACGAUGCCGAGAGGUAGCUUCGUUUCGUUACGGAGCGAUUGGAUCUGAAGAAGAAAUGAGUGUUGUUGCCAUGGGAAACCCGGUUUCAGUGUUCUUUUCGUGAAAACUUGGGCCUUUGGCCCAAGCAAUUCUUGUCCACACCCUUAAUUAAUUUUGCACCACAUAGCAUGUGUUCAUAUUUAAUUCUUUCCCAAUCCAUGAUUAAUCUCAAGUUAAUUUAGAUUUUAAUUCCUUUUUGUGGUUAAUCUUGAGGUUGAUUUGUUAAUUUAGAUUGUAAUUAGGUUAGUUCAUAAUUCAUUAGAAUUAUUAGGAUUAACCUUGUAAUGAGUAAUUAGAUUAAGCCCUAGUUAGGAUUAAAUAUAUGGUUAAUUAGAAGUUAGGUUUAAUCAAUUUUUAGAUUAGGUUUAGCUUCUUAAUUUUCCAGAAUUAAUUUUCAUGUGAUUAACCAUGCCAUGUUUAGAAUUUCAUUUGAUUUUCCAUGUUAAGUCUCAUGUACGCGAUUAACCUCAUUUUGACUUGGUUAUCUUUUGUUUAUGGUUAAUGGCUAAAUUGAAAUUUUCAUUUUAAUUUGAUUUGGUAUAUGUUUGUUCAUUCAUCCACCACAUGCCACAUCAUAUUAUCAUCAUACCAUCUCAUUCACUUUGAAUUAGCAUUUAAAUUCCAUUUAUUAAUGCAUACUAACCAUAGUAUUUUUUUUAUGGUGGCAUGUGAAUGAGAGAUCCAAACCAUCCUACAAGUUAUUCUUUUAUUUUUAUUUUUGUAAAGUCUAGUUUCUCCUCAUGUCUUUGUGUUGUAUUGUGUGAGUUUCCCCCAUUGUGGUUAAAUGUCCCCCCUCCCCUUACUCAUGUAAUAGCCUAUAGAUUUAUUGCUUUCUAGCUAGUUUACUAUGCAUAUUAAUAAUCAAAGAUAAAACACAAAACGAUAAACAAAGCAUUUUCAAAAGAAACAAAAGAAACUUGAUCCAACGUCAAGUUAUUUUCCUAAUUAAAACUCACACCAUUGCAACGUUAAUGCUUGAUCCAACGUCAAGCAUUCUCCAUUCACUCCAAGAUCCAUCAUUUACAUCUCUUCUCCAUUCACUUCUUAACUUCAUUCUAUCUCUCACCUCCGUUCUUCACUCACUACUUUCAUAAUAAAUUCAAAAGACUUGAUUCAACGUCAAGUUUCUUUUUCAAAACAUUUUCAUAACAAAUUGGAAUGCAAAUUGGGUGUACGUGUUUGUACACAACAUUCAAGUAAUUGGGUUGUCGGCCGUACCUAGCCUGAGGACCCGACACUUGACUUUCCCCCUUAAAACAUAUAAUCAUUCAAACAAGUUAAAUCUAGGAGCUAUGAGGAAGAAAAAGAAUAGUUAGGACUCCAUUGUCCUCUCGAUUCCCAAGUACUUUGAUUGUUGAUUGUACUUAGUCAAGGGUUAGAGACUUGUCUCCCUCUAAGUUCCAAUGAUUAAACUUGCCAAAUUCUUUUUAUAGUUCAAAUCUCUUUUUUGGAUGAAAAAUUGGGGUUAGGACCAUGUUGUCCUCUCAACUCCCGAGUUAUUGGACCGUUGACUGUAUCUAGCCAAGGGUUUAAUGCUUGUCUCCAUGCAUAAAAUUAACCCUAAUAAAUCAAAUCAUCUUUUGCCUUAGCGCACACUUCAAAACCUUUCAAUAAGGACGUGUUACUUCCGUUCUACCGUGAACGAAACUUAAGCCUCCAUGUGUGAGCAAGUAAUGUUUAACUGCUAGAGUGUGAACCAAGCGUAUCCACUUUAUCGCAAACAAGCAAAUACUUUCUGCUCCCAUGACAGAGUAUACAAGCAAGUGAACAGUAGCGCGCGAACGUCAAUACUGUUCAGUAAAAACAACCAAACAAAUACGUCAUUUUUGAAUCGAACUACGAAGCUCUGACUUCCCUAUUGCACGUAUGGGGAUACGUAGGCACAAGGGCCCAAAUCCUUGGCGAGCACACUAACUUAAAACUUAUUUUCUCUCCCAUCUCAUCUCUCAUCUCAUUCCUACUUGGCGAGCACACUAACUUAAAACUUAUUUUCUCUCCCAUCUCAUCUCUCAUCUCAUUCCUGAUAGCAAGCAACUUACAGAUAAGUAAACAUCCAUACACAUUUGAUAUGAGCAAGUGGUUCCCAUAGAAUACCAUGGAUGUGAGGGGUGCUAAUACCUUCCCCUUGCAUAACCGACUUCCGAAUCCACUCUUGGUUGCGAGACCGUUUCUCUCAUUUGGGGUUUUAUCGCUAUUUUCCCUUUCCUUUGGAAUAAAUAAAAUCCGGUGGCGACUCUGUAUUUUUUGCGGCGCUUCAGCUGACGACUCUGUUGGGGAUAAUAUGGAGUUCCCAUAAGCGAGUCAAGCCUAGCUUGCAUGUAUCCUUUUCCUUAGAUGUUUAUCUUUGUUAUUACUUGCUUUAUUUAUCCAUUCCUGUUAUAUAUUAUCCUGCUUUGAUCUUGUGGGAUAGGUAGUAUAGAGCGAGAAGCCCAAUACACAGGCUUAGAGAGUUCAUAUAAGAUAUGAGGGCUAUUCGUAUUGACCCGUCGGACGUAGUUAUCUUGAAGGGGAGGUACGAAGACCCCGCUUGGAGUAGAUUCUUUUUGGAGUUUGGUUAGCACGUGAGUCACGUUCGCGCUGACGGGCAUUCUUCCAAAGGGAGUCCGUGACUCCAAGGACCUUUAGACAAACCUUGGCUUUUGAAGUUGAAGGAAACUUCACUUAGAGGAGGUCAUCCCGAAAGUGUUGUUGCCCCACAAGUAUUUUUUGUCGACGACGACACUUUUGCCUCAUGACCCGUGAAUCUAAGCAUCUUCAUAAGUCCUAGUACUCACCUUGUGAGGGGAUAUAGUGGUUUCUCGCAGGGAAAUAAACCUUCAACCUACCUUGAGCUUCAUAAUCAGAUCGUCCAAGAUGCUGUGAACCCUUGGAUCCAUGAUGUGGCAUGCCAUUUCAUCACAUCAUUCAGCAUAUGCAUUCCUUCGGGAACAUAAAACAUGUUGCAUUCAUGCAUAAUUGCAUUUCACCUAUCCAAGGAGACUCACUGUUAUUUGGCCUUUGUCCAGAACCUGCUACAAUCAAGCUAAUUACCCGACAUCUGUUCAAGCCAGAAGUAUGUCUCGAGUUACCAUGGACGAGUUGUUGGAAAGUCAUGAAGCCUUGUGCUUGGAACUCAACGACCUGAAGACUCAGUCCACCCGUGCUUUAUAUCUCAUGAAUGUACUGUUGAGCUAUCAUAGGCCAGUUGUUGUACCAAAGGUGAUCCCUCAAGUGAACACGCUUGAUUCUAAUCCACACCAAGAGUUACCUCAUGGAUUCUAUCCACAACCCGGAUCUUCAAAGGCUCCAUGUCAGCAAUCACUUCCUGUUCCCCUACCCAAGCAGAGAGACCCUGUGCAUAAUCAAUAUCCCAAUCAUCAGGGGAGUUAUGAUCAUCAGGGUCAGAGAAAGACAAAGAAGCCAGAGAGGCACAUGGAUCACGUUUCUAUGUCAUAUAGUAGGCUUCUCCCUCUAUUGCUUAUGCACUCAUUGGUAAGACUGAGAGAGUUGGGACCAACCCCAAUACCUCUCCCUCAAGGAUAUGAUGCCAAUGCUAGGUGUGAAUUCCAUUUUGGGGCACCUGGGCACUCGACUGAAGACGGUCAGAGUCUCAAGUACAAGGUACAAGAUCUGAUUGAUUCGAGGGUUAUUAUGUUCACCCCACAAGGUCUGAACGUAGUACACACCCCCAAGACUUCCCAGACAAGUACAUUUGCGGUGCCAAACCCCUGUACAAACCAGCAACAUAACUACUAUCAGCUGGGGCACCAGAAACCGAAGAACCCAAAGAGGAGGAUAGAUCUGAUCCCUAUGUCAUACAGUUAACUGCUUGCUCACUUGCUUCAAGCCUCCUUGGUGAAGUACAGAAAGUUGGGACCUCCCACAACACCUCUCCCUCAAGGCUAUGAUGACAAUGCUAGGUGUGAAUUCCACUCUAGGGUACCUGGGCAUACCGUCGAGAACUACAGAGCUCUAAAGCACUUUGUGCAAGAUUUGAUCGAUUCGAAGGUUAUUAUGUUCACACCACAAGGCCUGAAUGUAGUACGCACCCACAAGACUUCACAAACAAAUACGUCUGAGGUGCCAAACCCAUAUCCGGACCAGCAACAUAAUUGUUAUCAGCAGGGUACACAAGGACCAAGGAGGCCUCCCAGGAAGUUUGACCCAAUUCCCAUGCCGCAUGGUCAUCUGCUAGCUUAUUUGCUCAGGGAUUCGUUGGUUCAGUUAAGAGAAGCCAAGGCUCCUCCAAUACCCCUUCCUCCCGGGUAUGACAUGAAUGCUAACUGUGAGUAUCACUCUGGGACGCUAGGACACUCGAACGAGAAUUGUAAUGUCUUCAAGCACAAAGUACAAGACUUGAUUGACUCGAAAGCUAUAUCGUUUGUGCCAGCGGUUCCAAACGUCAUGAAUAACCCCGCGCGUGCAAGCACAUAUGCAAUGCCGCAGUCAGAGCAGUGGUAGACUCGAAGAAGUUCCCUCUAUAUGACUACUUCGUCAGCUUCUACAAGAACUGAGACCCUAAGUUGUGGCAAGAAUAAGGCUGAUCACUCCAGCAAUCAUUAGUUUGUUCAAUCAUUUUUCAUGUGCAAUUUUUCUUGUUUGUCAUUUGUAGAUAUUCACUUGUAAUAAAUUCGUUUGCUUUUGAAUAAUAAUGGCAUUGAAAUGAAUAUGCAUUGUCUUUAAUAAAUCCAUUCGUGUCCACUCAUAUUUUUCAUCGAUACCAAACUUUUGUUAAGCAAAAUCAAAAGGAGAAUGAUGAAAUUGAAAACACGAUAUCACUGCAUGAACGCUUUUGGAUAGAACCUUGCUGAUGAUGUAAGGCAUUGUUUCGAAUCCCAAACACUGGAGUUAUAAGGAAGAUAAUCCCUAGUUAACCCCUUCGAGCCAUGGAGUAGAAGUUUCUUUCUGAAUAUAAAACCCUCAAUCUUAACCUGGGGCAGGGUAGAGGUCAGUUAGUUUGACCAGGCGUUCAAACUUCAAAUGAGGAGUGUCCUAUCUGAGGAUCAACCAUAUCUUAUCCCUCAUAGGAGGUCGGAAACAAUAAGUCUGCAUUGGUUGUCCCUCACCCAUAGAGGCACAAGGCAGUCACGACCCUUCCAAUCAAUCGAGCAAAUGUCGCGCGAUGUGUUCCAUCAAAGAAAUCAAAAUCAAAAGAGAUGAAAGCCCACUAAGUCGAAACUUGAGAACAACUUACUUAGGCAAAAAUCAGGGCAUCCCUGUGGAUCUCAAAUCAGAGUUAAUUCAACAAAAGUAUGGGAAUGAAAGAACAAAUCAAACAAAGAGGAAUCAUAAGAAAAUCCUCAGCAAGAACAAAAUCGUGUGGAAACAAACCAGACAGAAGGUGCAUGACUGCCACUCUGAAAACCUCGUGGAUUCAUUUUCACACCCAAAUCCCUUUUGAAGGGCGAGCGAUUAUAUCAAACUAGUUGAACAUAGGAAUGAAGAACAUCACGAAGAGCGGGUGGGUUAGAAUAGGUUUCGAGCCAUAAAUCCUUUUUUUUGAAAACCGUGAACCAGGCCACAUUACAACCCUUAAAAGACCUAAUUGAAGCAGGGUUUAGUCCGAAAGCGUACUAUAGUCAGUACUAUCAUGUUAAAACUGACUCCUCAAAUAUUUGCUUGUCAUUUGUGUUGGUAUCGAUAUGACAUUCUCAUUAGUGAUUCAUUCACUGUAUGUCAUAAUUCCAUGUGGAUGUAAUGGAAUUUCAAAACUAGCAUAAACAUGACAUUUGCAUUAUCUUUUCUAAAAUGAACUUGUCUUACUCGUGGGUAAACAUAUGACAUUCAGAAGUCUUCCACAAUGAACAUGAAUUGAAGAACUUGAUGAUUCAAAAGUGUAGAACGCCUGAGACCUCCGUUGAGCAGAGGCAAGCCAGUUCAUUUGAUGAUUCAAAAGUGAAGAAUGCCUGAGACCUCCAUUGAGCAGAGGCAAAUCAUCUUAACUGAUGAUUCAAAAGUGAAGAACGCCUGAGACCUCCGUUGAGCAGGGCCAAGCCAGUUCAUUGGAUGAUUCAAAAGUGCAGAAUGCCUGAGACCUCCAUUGAGCAGAGGCAAAUCAUCUUGACUGAUCAUAUCAAAAGUGUAGAGCGCCUGAGACCUCCAUUGAGAAGGGGCAAGCCACUUAUUUUGAUCAUACUAGAGCAGAAUGUUUAAAGACUCUGUUGAGCUAAAGACAAGACUACUACAAGAUCUAGUCGAUCAGAGGAAAUCACGUUGAGAAUUCCCUACAAGAUCUAGUCGAUCAAAGGAAGUCGCAUCGAGAAAUCUCUUCAAGAUCCAGCCGAUCAGAAGUAGUCGCAUCGAGAAAUCUCUUCAAAAUCCAGCCGAUCAGAAGUAAUCACGUCGAGAAAUCUCUUCAAGAUCCAGCCGAUCAGAAGUAGUCGCAUCGAGAAAUCUCUUCAAAAUCCAGCCGAUCAGAAGUAGUCACGUUGAGAAAUCUCUUCAAAAUCUAGCCGAUCAGAAGUAGUCACGUCGAGAUUCGAUAAAUAUCUCUGAAGACCAAUUCGUCAGGGGAAUUCCCUCAAAGGUCAGCCAUCCAGAGGCAAAGUUUCUUCAAGGCUCGUACUAGGGCAGGCCACCCCAAGAGCACGAGAAGUCAAUCUAUCCGAAAUGGUUAAUUAGAGGAGUGCAGUUCCAAGACACCAGGGCAUGUCAGAUUGAGAUUAUUUAUGACAAAUUUGUUUCAUAGCUAGAGACUGGGGCAAUCCAUGCAGGUAUCCAAUAGACUGGAGAAAUUCGUGUAGAUACCCAAGAGACUAGGGCAAGACGAUCCGAAGGGACGAAGGUUCUCUUCCCGCUCGUGAGAGCUUUUCAGAUCCAGCCUGGGGCAUCAGAAGAUCUUGCUCAAAUUUCAACAAGUCAGAUGUCAUGGAGUCAUGCGAGAUGUAUCUCACACCCAUAAAUCAGAAGACUGGUAACCCAAGUGAAUGUACCUCUGUUCAGGGCACACCAUGCCCAAACUUGGGGCACCCGUAAACCCGCAUACCAAUGCAUACGCCUGUCAUGCAUAAUUCAUACCAUUUCAUGCAUAUCAUCUGAUAUAAUCAUGAAGCUCUCUAAACAAGAAAGAAGCAAGUCCCAAACUCUCUUGGCACUACUCAAUAGCCCAUUUCCGUCGGCACUUUCAUGGAAUCCAACCUGGUGGAUAAACCCGCUUUCAAUACCCCCCUGCAGCGUUCAAUCUCAGUCGGGAGAACCAUUUGUAAGUCCAAUUCCAUUGGCCAAACCAUACCCUAGUCUUGUCAAAUAUACACAAUAUCAAACCUUCAUGUGUGUCUUUGCAAGUUGAUAAUGUUGACCAAGCCUUCCAUUCACUUUAGAGUGAGUCAUAUGGCUAUAACCUGUUUCUUCCCUUUCCGAUAAGGUUAACUUCGGAAAACCAUUCUGCAUUUCUUCUCUUCCUGAUAAGGUUAACUUCAGGACCCAUUCUUCCCUUCCGAUAAGGUUAACUUCGGAAACUUUCUUCUCUUCCUGAUAAGGUUAACUUCAGGACCCCUUCUUUCCUUCCGAUAAGGUUAACUUCAGAAACUUUCUUCUUUUCCUGAUAAGUUUAACUUCAGGACCCCUUCUUGCCUUCCGAUAAGGUUAACUUCAGAAACUUUCUUCUCUUCCUGAUAAGGUUAACUUCAGGACCCCUUCUUCCCAUCCGAUAAGGUUAACUUCAGAAACUUUCUUCUCUUCCUGAUAAGGUUAACUUCAGGACCCCUUCUUCCAUUCCGAUAAGGUUAGCUUCGGGUUAACUUCGGAAACUUUUUUUUUCCUGAUAAGGUUAACUUCAGGACCCCUUCUUCCCUUCCGAUAAGAUUAACUUCGGAAACUUUCUUCUCUUCAUGAUAAGGUUAACUUCAGGACCCCUUCUUCUCUUCCGAUAAGGUUAACUUCAGAAACUUUCUUCUCUUCCUGAUAAGGUUAACUUCAGGACCCCUUCUUCCCUUCCGAUAAGGUUAAUUUCGGGCUCCAUUUCUCUUCUCUUCCUGAUAAGGUUAACUUUAGGAAACCCUUCUUCUCCUUCCGAUAAGGUUAACUUCGGAAACUUUCUUCUCUUUCUGAUAAGGUUAACUUCAGGACCCCUUCUUCCCUUCCGAUAAGGUUAACUUCGGAAACUUUCUUCUCUUCCUGAUAAGGUUAACUUCAGAACCCCUUCUUCCCUUCCGAUAAGGUUAACUUCAGAAACUUUCUUCUCUUCCUGAUAAGGUUAACUUCAGGACCCCUUCUUCCCUUCCGAUAAGGUUAACUUCGAAAACUUUCUUCUCUUUCUGAUAAGGUUAACUUCAGGAUCCCUUCUUCCCUUCCGAUAAGGUUAACUUCGGGCCCCAUUUCUCUUCUCUUCCUGAUAAGGUUAACAUCAGGAUACCCUUCUUCUCCUUCCAAUAAGUUUAAAUUCGGAAACUUUCUUCUUUUCCUGAUAAGGUUAACUUCAGGACCCCUUCUUCCCUUCCGAUAAGGUUAACUUUGGAAACUUUCUUCUCUUCCUGAUAAGGUUAACUUCAGGACCCCUUCUUCCCUUCCGAUAAGGUUAACUUCAGAAACUUUCUUCUCUUCUUGAUAAGGUUAACUUCAGGUUCCCUUCUUCCCUUCCGAUAAGGUUAACUUCGGAAACUUUCUUUUUUUCUUGAUAAGGUUAACUUCAGGACCCUUUCUUCCCUUCCGAUAAGGUUAACUUCGGAAACUUUCUUCUCUUCCUGAUAAGGUUAACUUCAGGACCCCUUCUUCCCUUCCGAUAAGGUUAACUUCAUGCCCCGUUUCUCUUCUCUUCCUGAUAAGGUUAACUUUAGGAUACCCUUCUUCUCCUUCCGAUAAGGUUAACUUUGGAAAUACGUAUCCCCCUUCUUCUCUCCCUGAUAAGGUUAACUUCGGGAUCCAUUUCUUCCCUUUCUAAUAAGGUUAACUUCGGAACUCCCUUUCUCGUGUCUUCUCUUACCGAUAAGGUUAACUUCGGGACCCCCCUAUGUCCUUCUCCAGUUCCAAUAAGGUUAACUUUGGAAUGUUUCCCCAGCGAUGUCGUCAUUUCUUCUCUUUCUGAUAAGGUUAACUUCAGAACCAUUUUCUUCCCUUUCCGAUAAGGUUAACUUCGGAAACUUCUCUUCUCCCCCGAUAAUGUUAACUUCGGGAUCCAUUUCUUCUCUUCCGAUAAGGUUAACUUCAGGAUCCACUCUUUUUCUUUCCGAUAAGGUUAACUUUGGAAGCCCGUUUUCGUUUCUUCUCUCCCUGAUAAGGUUAACUUCAGGAUCCAUCUCUUCUCUUCCCGAUAGGGUUAACUUCGGGAUCCGUUUCUUGUCUUCCUGAUAAGGUUAACUUCAGGAUACUUCUCUUCUCUUCCUGAUAAGGUUAACUUCUGGAUCCAUCUCUUCUCUUCCCGAUAGGGUUAACUUCGGGAUCCGUUUCUUGUCUUCCUGAUAAGAUUAACUUCAGGAUACUUCUCUUCUCUUCCUGAUAAGGUUAACUUCAUGAUACUUCCCUUCUCUCCUCGAUAAGGUUAACUUCGGGAUCCAUUUCUUCUCUUUCCGAUAAGGUUAACUUUGGAGCCCCUCCUUUUACCCUUUUCUCCUCUCUCCGAUAAGGUCAACUUCGGAACUCAUCCUUCAGUAAAGAUGAAUUAUGUUUGGUCUCCUUCCCUUUCUUUCUUCCCAGUCAUAAACAAAAAAUAAAGUCCAGGUUCCAUUUGGUAAACCAUGUUUCAAAAAAUCUUUCACCCAUUUCUUCCCGGCGGAAAAAUGUUCUCAGUGCUUUCCUAAGAGUUUUGAAAAGAAAAAAAAAGGGUACAAAGAAAAAUGAAAAGUUUGCUCACAAAAAAACAGAGAGCCUGUUGAGAAAGAAGAAUAAAUCACAUUGCAUCAGCAUCAUGCAUAUGUCAUACAUCUCUAACCUUCCGUAAAUAUCCUUCGAUCAGAUAACAUUUCAAUCCCCAUCAGCUGCCUGCACAAAAGCUAGUUUGUUCAUCCUACAUCUCAGUGAAGAAUUUCUUUGUGACCUAUCUUCACAUUUCAUUUGUUCUUGGUGGACAAAUUUUCUGAUAUUCUAGUAUUUAAUCCCCUCCUACCUUGAAUGUCCGGAAGCGGUGACUAUCCAUACAUUCAGGUUUGAGGAGAUUAAAUAGGGGCAACUGUCAUACCCCAAAAUUUACCCUACCUUUCACAAGUUCAUCUAGGUCACUAACCCUGAGCAUUCGCAUAUCCUGAUAAGCAUACAUCUCAUAUACGUAUUCAUUGUAUCAUAACACAUUCCACUUGCAUUCGAAAAAAGCAUAAAAUCAUGGGUUCGAGGAUGUUCACCAGGGAGCGUAGUGGAAACCCUAAUUCAGGGGGAUUGCAUUUGAUUUGUUUGGUUCAUUUUAGAUGGUUCAGUUGUUUGGUUAAGACUCAUGGUUCCGAUCCAUUGGCUAAGACUCAUUCAAGGUGCUGCAAUCGGUUGCUUGAUGGAAUGUCAUUUGGUUGACUUUGAUUGAUUGGAUUUCGAGUCUUGACUUGACAUGUUUUAUUUGGUUUAAGAACAUUGGGCUUUUCGGUCAUUUCCAUAUUCAUUCCACAAAAGAAAAAUAUUUGUACCUAACUUGACUUUUGGUUAACUGUUGACUUUUUGGUCAACUGGUUGACCAAAGUCAACUGUCUAACCAAAUACCAUCCUUGUCCAUAUUACCAAUCCAUUAGAUCCCAUUUUAAUAUAAUUUUAUCCAUCAUUAUCCGAUUAACCACUAACCCAUUUAAGAAAUUCAAUUACAAUUUAAUCCAUUCCCCAUCUAGCCCAUUUAACUAACCCAUAUCCGCAUUUUAAAACCAAAUGUCCAUAAACCAGAUAUCCACUCAAAUCCAAUUCCUAAUAUCCAUUUGAUCCAUUAUUUUCAAUAACCCAUUUGCAUAUCCAUAACCUUUUUUUAAGUCCAUUUUUCACAAUAAAAAUCCACUAGUAAUCCAAAUCCUCUUUCCAAAUCCAUAUUUCAUUUUUACUAAUUCCUAAUUUCUAAAACAAUCCAUGUAACCAUUUAACUCUUUUUCCAAACCAUUAAUGAUCAUUUACAUACACAUUUCAAUUCAACCUUUGGAUUCAAUCCAAAGACAUUUUACCAUCAUAAACCAUUAUUUUUUAUUGACAAUUCAAAUGCACUACAAACAUUUCAACCAUUAGUUGCAAAACUACACUUUCAUUACAUAAGCCAAUUUCCAAAAUCACAUGUUUAAACAUUACACUGAUGCCUCACAUUACUAAUUCAAUUACCUACAUUACACAUUCAAUGCAUAAAAAUUACAACAAAAGCCCAAAAAACACACUAAUCCAUACCAAUUCAUACAUUCCAAAUCCAAUCAGUCCCAUACACAAAAACAUGCGUUCCAUGCAGGCCAUGCAUUCCAAAUAACAGCAUAAAAAAGGAACAUCGGCCAGCAGCAAGGUUUUGAGAGCUAGUGUGGCAAGUGUACCCAAUGAAUAAUCUCCUCAAGAUUUGCUUAACUUGGGUGAACCAACUGUCAUUGUCGCACCUCCCAUUGUAGACUCAUUCAUGCAGUUGGAAGGAUCGUACGCUUCAAACAAGCCCAUUUGACCUGCAAAUUUCACAAAAAAUAAUAACAAUUUCAAAACUGCUUCUAACUUCCCUCACCAUAACUCAGUUCAAACUUAUGCUUUCAUCACCUCCAACAUAAUCUAAUCCAAUGCAAGCCUUACAACAUGCCGACCAUAGCUCCGUAACAAAGACCGUAAACCGUUAGCCUACAAAAACACAAAUAUACAUCAACCUUUUCCAGCAUUAAGCCAUUUGAAUCCACAACAUAACAGUGGAAAGAAGGAGGCAAAACAGAAGCAUAUCAUAAUAGAGAACUAGAAACACUCACUGAAACCAUGACUAACUUCAUAUGAGAACCGACUCAAUAACUAACCUGCCAAGUGCCAUAACUGCCCGCGAUUAACAGCAACUGUCGAAACCAACUCGAACUGAAUCCCAACUAUCGCCAACUGUCACCAACUGUCGCCAACUGUCACCAACUGUCGCCAACUGUCAUUGAAUCUAACUAACUCCUAACAAAACCAUAACCUCCACAACUUCAACAACCUCCAUAUAACAGAUAACUGAUUCUUCACCCGGAGGAGCUUCUUCUUCCAUCUCCAUCACAACCCAAAGCUCACCCUAACGACUUCACACUUCAUCAUCUUUCCCAUAAUUCAACAAUUCACAACUUCCUCAACCUCUCUCACUUUCUCAACCACGAGCAAUCUUCCUCACCAUUCGUCUCCACCAUCACAGUUAACAUAACCCUUCAUCAACCAUCAACCAUACUUCUCCAUCUUCAACACUUCAACAUCUCCAACCGUAACCUCCAUCAUCUCCUUCAACAAAGAUCCCUUCAUCAACCGCUAAACCUUCUUCUUCACCCUUCAAAGAUAACUGAACUCGACCUUCAACAAUUCCGAACCA